GCAGUGGUGGUUCAGUGGUAGAAUUCUUGCCUUCCUUGCGGGAGAUCCGGGUUCAAUUCCAGCCCGUGCA
rnacentral:tRNA from 1 species